GUCAUUCCUCCCCUCGCAGUUACUCACAAUCAGUGCUAGUAAACGGGUGACCUUAUCUUGUUUUGUUUUUGUAUAAAGUGGACGUCGUUACGUAUUUUCCUAUUCUCAAACUAUGUGCAUCGCUACAUAAAGUACUAGGAUGUCAGAAAAACCAGAAGUUCGUUUUGAGGAAGCAGAGAGACGCAAGGGGCUGAUUCUGACUCUAACCGCUAUUCUCUGUUGCACAUUAUGUUUUGUCGUUCGACAUUAUACGGCACUACUUAGUUUAGUGGUUAUUCUGACUGUGUUUUUGUUAAGCGGAGACAGAUAUCAAUGGAUUUAUAUCUGCAAGAAGACUUUCUUUCGGGAUCUACUAGGUCUCCGAGUUCUCUUAGCCACGAUGUUUCGUAUUUGGCUAUGGGAGCGCAAUGGCACAACUGUGGUUACCAGGUGGGAGGAAGUAGCCAAGAUGACGCCAGACAAACCGGCAUUUAUCAUGGCUGACAGAUCUUUGACGUUUAGAGAGGGUGAUGAACUUAGCAACCGAAUAGCAUGGUACUUCAAACGCCAAGGGUUCAAGCGUGGUGAAGUGAUCGCCCUGUUUAUGGAGACACAACCAGAAUAUGUCUUUCUCUGGAUCGGUCUGGCGAAACUGAGAGUUACAACUGCAUUGGUGAACACCAACUUGAGGGGAUCUCAGCUGAUCUACUGUUUGCGGAUCGCUGGUUGUAAGGCUGUGAUCUUCGGUGCUGAGAUGACUGAAGCUAUAAAAUCUAUCCAGAACGAAAUACCAGACAUACCGUUAUUCCAAUUCAACCCGCCAGGCGAAGAGUCUGCUCCAAUACUCCAGGACACAAUUCCUCUAUCUACUGAGCUGACUGAAAUGUCUUCCGAGUCCUACUCAGACCCUGAACCAGCCAAACCCAGGGAUACAUUGCUAUACAUCUACACGAGUGGUACUACCGGGUUCCCGAAGGCAGCCAUCAUUACGAACAUAAGAUACCUCCUAAUACCACUAGGAGUGCAUAACUCAGCGCAGCUCUCUUCGUCUGAUAUUGUCUACGACCCCCUACCACUACAUCACACAGCGGGCGGCGUUCUCGGCGCCGGUCAAUGUAUCGUUUUGGGUUGCACCGUGGUACUGAGGAGGAAGUUCUCCGCUAGUAACUAUUGGAAGGAUGUGGCGAAUUAUAAAUGCACGGCCGCGCAAUAUAUUGGUGAAAUAUGCCGUUACCUCCUCACUGUACCACCGUCAGCGUAUGACACAGCUCAUACUGCGAAGGUGUUGAUUGGAAAUGGGCUCCGGCCCCAAAUAUGGGAAGAGUUCGUCGAGAGAUUCAAUAUUGAACGCGUACUGGAGUUCUACGGCGCUACUGAGGGGAACAGCAAUCUUGUGAAUUUGGACUCAAAGGUUGGAGCCAUUGGAUUUCUGAGUCGCACGGUUUCAUCAAUUUAUCCAUUAACAUUAGUCAAGUGCGAUGAAAUUACGGGUGAAAUACUGAGAAAUGAGAGCGGAAGUUGUAUCACGUGUGGACCUCAUGAACCCGGUCUACUCUUAGGAAAAAUAGAGCCUAAAAAAGCGAUACUAACAUUCGCUGGCUACGCGGACAAGACCGCGUCUGAGAAGAAGAUGGUAAGAGAUGUAAGAGUGAAAGGAGACUGUUACUUUAACACAGGAGAUAUUCUUGUGAUGGACCAUUUCGGAUACUUUUAUUUUAAGGAUCGGACUGGAGAUACUUUUAGAUGGCGAGGGGAAAAUGUAUCUACAGCUGAAGUGGAAGGGGUGAUCAGUAACUUAAUCGGGCUGAAAGACGCCGUUGUUUAUGGAGUUUCUAUACCGAACAUCGAAGGCCGCGCAGGUAUGGCAGCAAUAGCGGAUCCAGAAAAGAAGUUAGACCUGGAAUCUCUCGCGACCGGCAUCAAGACAUCCCUCCCAGCUUACGCCAGACCGUUAUUUCUACGGAUACUACCAGCACCUCCAUUAACAGCGACGUUUAAGCUCAAGAAGAAGGAAUUGGUGGAACAGGCGUUUAGUUUAGGAACUGAUCCUGUAUAUUUUUUGGAUCAGAAGACUGGGAAGUAUGUACCGUUGACCCAAAAGAUGUAUGAUGAUAUAAUGCAAGGUAAUAUUCGGCUGUGAUUAUUGGGAGAUAUAUUAAUUAGAAGUAUUCUCAUGUAUGUCUAACCCAAUGUUUUUGACAUACGAGAGAGACAUACUUAGCCCUAAGUUUGAACUCUUACCAAAAUUUCAAAAAUAUAUUAUCAUACAUAACAUGCUGUAAAAAUUUAGAGUUUAAAUUCGCCUCAAUUAGUGAAUAAAUAAAAUUAUAAAUUUACGAUAAAAAAAAUAUAUAAGUAUAUUUGUAAUAAAAGAGAAAAUGAAGAAAGAUUAAUUUAACGAAAUUGCUAGUCUCGUAUUAUUUGUUCCAAAAAUUUAUUUUUAAGAAAUUUCAACUUUUGUCUACCCACAAAAAAAAUAUUUAGACGGGAAUUGAACGCUAAGUCACAAAGUGCGUAGAAAAACAAUAUUAAUUGCGGGUAAAUUCCAAAAUCCCAUAUAUUUUCCAUUUAAGUACUCAAAAACGAGGGUAGAAAAAUUUAUACAUAGUAAUUUAAAAUUAUAAGCGUAUAAGAUUUUUAUAUUUAUAAUUAAGUUUGAUUAAAAACAUUAUAUCUGAAAACUAUGUAUGCUUAUUCUAAUUCUAUUGCGUUCAACAUUUAUAUUUUAUUUGCGCAAAGUUUUUUUAAAUAGAAUGUUAUAAAUGCAGUCAAAAUCUGUUAUAACGACAUCGACGGGACUACUCAUAUUU